rnacentral:tRNA from 1 species
UUCGGGAUAGUUCAGCGGCAGAACGCUCGGCUCGAUUUCCGAGUGGACGCAGGUUCGAGUCCUGCUCCCGAAG